rnacentral:lncRNA from 1 species
UAGGAGUGUUUUUUUUUUUUUUGUUUUUGAGAGAGAUAGUUAGCACGCUACCUAUUUUGUUUAUUUAAUUUAGAAAUAUACUUAGCUGGAAAUAUGAAUCAACUAGAAUUCGAACUUGGGUCUCGGAUAUCAAUGACCAAACUCUUUAUCACUUGCUCUAGGGAUGGUCAGUGAUCCAUGUACUAUCGAUAGUACCAAGCCGUUGGUACUAUUGAGUUUUCUACCGUUAGAUCUGUCCUUUGAUCAUUUCCACCCGUUAGAUUAUACUAUUAAACCAACCACCCACUCAACCCUAGGGGACCAUUAUCAAUUUAACCGGGGACAACUAUCAUCCUAACCGCACAUCAUUUCAUCCAACGGCCGAAAACUCAAUAGUACCAAAGGGUUGGUACUAUUGAUAGUAUAGUAGCAUAAUUAU